CCUACGGGCGGCAGCAGUGAGGAAUAUUGGUCAAUGGGCGGGAGCCUGAACCAGCCAAGUCGCGUGAGGGAAGACGGUCCUAUGGAUUGUAAACCUCUUUAGGCGGGGAGCAAUGCCGGGCACGCGUGCCCGGAGGGAGAGUACCCGCAGAAUAAGCAUCGGCUAACUCCGUGCCAGCAGCCGCGGUAAUACGGAGGAUGCGAGCGUUAUCCGGAUUGAUUGGGUUAAAAGGGUGCGUAGGCGGAUUUUUAAGUCAGCGGUAAAAUGUCCGGGCUCAACCCGGGCCGGCCGUUGAGACUGGGGAUCUUGAGUGGGCGAGAAGUAUGCGGAAUGCGUGGUGUAGCGGUGAAAUGCAUAGAUAUCACGCAGAACUCCGAUUGCGAAGGCAGCAUACCGGCGCCCGACUGACGCUGAGGCACGAAAGCGUGGGGAUCGAACAGGAUUAGAUACCCGAGUAGUC
rnacentral:rRNA from 1 species